rnacentral:ribozyme from 14 species
AAUUUUUGUCUUUUCUUCUUCUUGUAUUAUUUCUUGUUUUGGUGAUUUUUCUCCUUCUUCUUCGUUGUCUUUGUUGUUGUCAUUUUAAAAAUGUCGUGAUG